UACGUAGGGCGCAAGCGUUGUCCGGAAUUAUUGGGCGUAAAGAGCUCGUAGGCGGCUUGUCACGUCGGGUGUGAAAGCCCGGGGCUUAACCCCGGGUCUGCAUUCGAUACGGGCUAGCUAGAGUGUGGUAGGGGAGAUCGGAAUUCCUGGUGUAGCGGUGAAAUGCGCAGAUAUCAGGAGGAACACCGGUGGCGAAGGCGGGUCUCUGGGCAACAACUGACGCUGAGGAGCGAAAGCGUGGGGAGCAAACAGG
rnacentral:rRNA from 1 species